rnacentral:tRNA from 1 species
GGGGAUUUAGCUCAGUGGCAUAAGCACCUGCCUUGUAAGCAGGCAGUAGUGAGUUCAAUCCCUG